UAUAACACACACACACACACACACACACACACACACAUAAUGUUUACAAGUUAGCAUCGAGCAACAAAGCAAAAAAUAAAUAUCUUCAAUGGAAGUUUUCUUCUCUAUUUAUAUCUGUGUAUACAUAUAUAUGUCGCGAGCUAGCUUACUUUUGGGUUGGGUGUGAAUGUAUAGUUUUGGCCAGCUGCUGCAAGUGCACUAAAAACAGAUUUUAAACAAAACAAAAGAGAAGCU